CACUCUCGUUCUUCCUUCUCAGGCAGUUUCGCCGGUUCUCACCGCCUCCGGCGCGGUGGUUACGUUCGUCUCUCUCUCCUAUCACCUCUCUGCCCAGACCCCCUAGCCCCUACCCCUCGCCUCUCCCUCUCUCUCAUCACCUUUUACCCUCUCACCCACCCCCAAAUCUAUAGCCCUAAUUCGUCGCCGCCACCCUCGCUCCUCCAAUCGCCGCCACCAUGCGUCGGAGCCCUACAAGGCAGGCCAGCUCUCUCCCUCUGCACAUCUCUCCCUCGUCAUCUGCCUCUUAUUGCCUUUCUCUUCGGCCCUGCUAGUCGUCUCCGCCGUGAAUUGUCGUCUUCGGCCCAGCCUCCGCGUCCGCCGCAAUUCAUCGCCUACUCCACGAUUCACCGGAGAUCCCGUCCACUUCUAAGUCUCCGCCGCCGCCGCCGCCUAAUUCUCCGCUAGACACCGUCGCUGCUAGAUUUUCUGUAUUUUUUUCUUUCUAUUUUCUGUAUUUUUUUCUACAUCUCCAGAUUUCUGCAACUAGCUCAUCUUAAUAUUCCCACCGAUUCCUUCCUCCGCUCUGCCACCGUCGCCGACUUCCAUGCUGCCCGCUUCCGUGACCCCGCCUGUAUUUCCUUUUCCCAUUACCUUCUCAAUUACAAGGGUUUCUUCGCUUGCCAGAGGGAUUGUCCAAGAGAACAUGAGUGUUGGACAUCGUGAUGCUUUACUUCUUUUCCUUACACUUUGUAAGAUGGGUAUGAGGGAGGAUAAUGAUGAGCAAAACUCGCGUUCUAUCUUUGGAGCUUCUGCAGGUCAGUUCUGCUAAUCUUUCUGUACAUUGAUUAUUGCAUGCUUGUUCUGGUGGUUUGGAGAAAAGGAAAGGUCUUCUUGUUUUCACUCCAUCUCAAUGGUUGAGGAUUUUGAAUGAUGCUAACUCUUUGAAACAAUAUUCUAGAGUACACACUAACAAUUUGCCCUUGUUGACUAUCCUCCACAUAAAACAAUGACUAAUUACUCCACUAUCUAUAAAAGAAAAGAAUAGGGCACUUAAGUGGUCAGAAGUGCCAAAGCAUUUUUUUCACUUGUUGAGGGGUUGGUUUUAUUUUUAUAACGCUUAAGUUCUGAGUUUCACAUCAGAUGAAUUUUUACAAUGCUAAUUGUUAUGUUUAUCAAUUUUUUACGGUGCAGUUGUUACAUAUAUCUCUAUUCUAUUAUAAUUUUGACUAAGCAGGUUAUAAUAUUUAUAAAUUAAAUGAAUUAGGAAAUGAACAAUAUACGACGCCUAACCCAUACCAGUCACAACCCUCCCUUUAAGCCACUCAAGUUCGCACGCCGACGCUGGUCAGUGGAAAACAGCUAACAUUUUCAGUUUCCGGUUAGUUUUUCAUAUUCAUUUCCAAUUGAAUGUGUUCUCAUCUAUUUGUUUAUUCACUGCUCUAAAAAAUCUAUCUAUAUAUAUAAUCCUGAAUCAUGCAUCAUUAUGUUCGAUGCUAUCUAACGCUGAAACUUGCUGAAAUCUUUUACUCUAAUCCUCCCACUUUAGUUGUUGCCUCAUUUAUGUUCUCCAUAAUUUAUAUUUACUUGACUUCUGUAUAUUUCACAUGCUUCGAUUGUAUUUGACAGCACCUACUCUGGAUGAAAUGCUGGCUGAUGUUCUGUUUCCUUUGUUUAAUAUUGCAAAAAAACUUUUAUAAACAACUUCUAUACCUUCUUGGUUGGUGCAUGUUUGUACAUGCUGGGAAGGAUAUUCUUGGUUACCAAAAAGAGAAGUAGUGUACUUGAGUCAUGGAGGGAUAGUUGGAUAAUCCAGCAUCUUAUACUUCUAAAUAUUGGAAGCAGAUUCUUGUGUUAAAUAGACAUGGAGGGAUAGUUGGAACUGCCACUUGAGACAUUUGAAUGAACAUCUGUUAAAUAGACAUGCAAUUUUUGCUUUCUGCUUCUCUGUAGUUUUCAUUUUGUAAUAGUAGAUUAGCAUAGCAUUGAUUGAAACAAUCGAAGUAUUUAAGGUGAAUGUUACCUUUGUGAUCAUAUUGCCCUUUUCUUGGAUUGUCUAUUUUCUUCAAGCCAGGUUAGUCGAAUAAUUUUGGUUGUAAUUUGUUUGGAGUCACUGGAAAGUUGUUGAGUUACUUUUUAAAUUGUUAACUGAAUGCAUAUGUAUGUAUAUAACUGUGAAUUCUUAGCUGAGUUAGAUGUCGAAAGAGCUAUUGUGUUGUGAUUACCUCCAUAUAUUGUAUUUUUGAAUUGUUGAAUAUACUAUAUAGAAGAUUGUGUUAUGACCUAUAAUAGCGUGUGCAAGUAAAAUAUGAUGAAAACCAUGAUGAGGAAAUAAUACCUUCAUUCUAAAAAAAAUUAUAGAAUCGUAUGUCUUACUCCGACCCUACUCGUAUGUCUUACUCCGACCUUUGUGUUAAUUGUUUAUACAAGGUUUUAUAGCAAAUCGUAUUGAACCGUGUAGUAUCUAGAUGGUACAGAGCUCCUGAGCUUCUGUUUGGCGCCAAACAAUAUGAUCAAGAUGGAUUACCAUGGCAAUGAGACAAGGCAGGCAGCUGGGGAGAGGAAUGAGCACGCUCCAAUGUCUUUGGAUUUUUCAGUUUUUGGCAUGAGGCCGCCAAAUAGACCAACUAUUAACAGGAGCAGAUGAGGGAGAUAUGCUCAAAAGUCAUACCCACUAUGUAUGAAGGAGCAGCUGAAACUCAUCAAAGUUGGAGCAUGAAGGUGCUUCUGUGAAGUUUCUUUUUUUUUUUUUUUUUUUUUUGAGUUAGGCUCA